ACAACAACGGCGACUGCUGCUUCUUCAUCGUUGAAGCUGCUCGUUCAAGGCGAGGUAGCGAUAGGAGGAGGAGGAGCGGGUAAGCAGCAGAAGAAGAACGGCGCAGCAGAAGGAAGAAACCGCAAAGCCCUUGGCGACAUUGGCAAUCUCGUCAUUGUUCGAGGCAUCGAAGGCAAGAAAAGGCUGCAAGAGUUUGAAGCCACUUUGAAGCCACGCUUACUACUUCUCCAAGAGAUACCAUAGCAAUGGAGAUUGUGGAUGAUACAUCAAAUGAGCAAGCAAUGGAGAUAAACAUACUUCGGAAAAGUAUCGCAAAUCAAAUGGCAAGGGAUUACAAUAUGCCAGAGAUUCCAUAACUUUAUGUUUCCGACUUUUGUAAUAUUGUUAUUAAUUAUUGACUUAUCAAAGCCAAUAUUUCAAAGUUGAACAAUGGACUAAGUUACUUCAGUAUUCAUUUAUGGAUAAGUUGUAGUGAUGAGUUUCUCAUUAAA